AACCCCGCCCCCCCGCCCCCUUCCCCUGUCGAUCUCCGCGAUCCGGUGGGGAAUUCCGAAUUAACUCAGCUGCCGGGGCCUGGAUGCUCUGUUUAGUCUAGCACGCACGAUCAACCAUGUAGUUGCAGGUCAAUCAUCGGAUCUAGGUAACGUUUAGUUCUGCAAUAUGUAAUUUUGUUAGCGUUGAGGAUAUGGAUUUGAUCUUGCAGGGGUUGCAAAGCCUCCUGCCUAUCUACGUCUAGUAUAUAUGGUAGACCACACCUGAUUGGCCUACUUGGCCUUCGCAUCAGUUGCCACCAGAUUUAACUGGCAUGGGACUGCUCAAUACAUGAGGUUGUAUGGUGAUGUUUUGUUAAUUUUUCCGAAUCACACACAAUGAGAGGUUUAGUCUGGUUCGCUGUGGGACUGGUGAAGAGGGAAAUUAUUUAGGAUUCAUAUGGAUCUAUAGUUUGGGGAAAUGGAAUAGGUGCAAGAUUGGGUUUGGAUUUUUUUUGCUAGUGUUGCAUGGGUUUGUAGGUGCCAAAUUGUCAUGAACAUGCGGGAUAAUGGCUGUAGGGUCUGUAUGGGGUAACCCUGGACCCAAGAGGCGCACCACCUCAAGGGCAGGGAAGAAGUAGACGGAUAAAUAGAUUGAUUUAUUCUUGACUUGCCUCAUAACGAUUACAGGGGCCCUUUAUAGGUAAGACUCGACUUGCCAUCCAAGAAACUAAUCUCUACUUUCCUAACAAACCAUAUAUUCCUCUGUCCAAUAAAGGAUGUCUCAACUUUGACUAAAUUUGAAUGCAUCUAUACAGUAAGUCAUGUCUAGAUACAUCCAAAUUUUGACAAACUUGAGACAUCUUUUGUUGGACGGAGGGAGUAUUAAUAUUCCUAUCUAAUCUCCAUCCUAAUCCUAACUAAUUAAGACACCAACGGGAUAUUGUCCCUUAUUUGGAUACCUAGGGCUGCGCCCCCUGUAGGGGUGUAAACCACCACCACAAGCAGCAGCCUACCCUCGAGGAGCUGCGGCAGUGGCCACGGCGGCCCCAAGCUCCGAUGGCUGGCCAUUGUUGUCAUGGUUGUGCAGAACCUUUAACUUCAAAGGAGGACACUCCCAUACCCCUGCUGCUUUUGGAAGAAGGGGCUUCUCCUUUGUGCCUGGGGGCGGGAAUCUUCAUGCUGCUGCACUACGUCUCAGCGCAGAAAAAUGUCUCCCUGCCGCUCACCCUAAGAGCUGCUUCUUCCCUGCUGCUGGGCAGUAAAGGCUCUUGGCUGCUCCUUUCAAGCUUGAAGACGUGCACAGCAACACCACCUCCUGUUGCACUAGCUCCAGGGCUGGCUGUACUAGAGUCGCCCAUAGGGGUAGCAACGGUGAAGCCAGCAGCGGAGGGAGUGAAGGCAAUGGCGAAGGAGACGUCGCUGCAGCUGGUUGGGACGUGGUUGUUGGCAUGGCUGCUUUUCGUUGCUCCACCCUCACAAGGAUGUUGGCACAGAUUGCUUGUAACCUUUCGAGCGUAGCUUCAACCUUGGCGAAAGGAGAGAACACCGUGGCAUCAGGUGCAGUGGAGAUCGACUGCUCUCAUACCAAAUUGUCACGAACUAGAUUCAUGACAUGGGGGUUAAUGGCUCUGGGGCCUGUGCGGAGUAACCCUGGACCCAAGAGGCGCCGCAACUCCAUGAAGGUAGCUGCACUGCAAGGGCAGGGAGGCAGCAUAUGUGAUAAUUAGAUUGAUUUAUUCUUGACUUGCCUCAUAACGAUUACAGGGGGCCCUUUUAUAGGGAAUACUCGACUUGCUAUCCAAGAAACUAAUCUCUACUUUCCUAAUAAACCAUAUCUUAAUCUCUUGCCUAACUAAUUUAGAAGGUACCAAUGGGAUAUUGUCCCUUAUUUGGAUACCUAGGGCGGCACCCCGUAUAGGGAUGUACGCCCAUGACAGGUGGAUUUAUUGGAUUUUCUCAUUGGAGCUAUUGGCGGUUGGUUGUCUAGUUUUCUUAUAUUACAUCAAUAUAUCUGCUUAGCAUAUUAGCAUAUCACCAAGCAUGUGAUGCUUAGCAUAUUCAUUUGGUUGUAUGCUUGGAUGCACUGCUGGAUUUGGUGAUCUAGGUUGAUGGAAUUUUUGCUAUGUAUUUUUGUUGUGCUAGUAUGUGGGGACUGUAGAAUUACUGGAGCUGAGUGCUACUUCCUCCGUCAGGAAAUAAGUGAGUAGGAUUUGUCUAGAUUCGCAUGUAUCUAUACACUAAAACACGUCUAGAUACAUACGAAUCUAGACAAAUAAUCCGAGUCACUUAUUUCCGGACGCCAGACGGAGGGAGUAUAUGGUAGCAUUAAUGGCAGGCACAUAUAAUAUACCUUCUCUUGUUAGAAAUCAAAUUAUUACUGUUUACAUUUGAUAAUUUUGGUUGAUUCUUUAGUGCUAAUAAUUAUUUAUAUGUUGAAAUUAUUAAUUCCAGGAUCACUUAUGCAAAA